GAAAUUGAAUUUUGGUGUUUCUUUUGCAGCAGGAAAUUUACAUGUCCAACCUUGAUUUCCUUGAAGAAAAUGAUGAUGAAGUGGACCUAACAUGAUGUACACUUCAUUCUAUCUAGUUCGUUGUUAUUCUUUCAGUUUUCUUGUGUUAGUUAUUAAAUAUUGUAAGUACUAUGAUCUUUGGGAGAUCAAGACAUAAUAACAAAUUUUGUACUUAUCGUGACUUGAGCAUUAUCUAUUUAUAUAUGGAGUAUUAGUUUUAAUUAUUGGCUCUUUAUGCAUUAGUUUAUCAAUUAGUUUGAAAUAGG
rnacentral:lncRNA from 1 species